rnacentral:tRNA from 1 species
AAGAGUUUAAGUUAAUAAAACUAAAAGCCUUCAAAGCUUUAAAUGGUCAAAACCAACCCUUA